rnacentral:rRNA from 1 species
UGGCGGCAGGCUUAACACAUGCAAGUCGAGCGGUAGCAGAUCUAGCUUGCUAGAUGCUGACGAGCGGCGGACGGGUGAGUAACGCGUAGGAACCUGCCCAGUAGUGGGGGAUAGCCCGGGGAAACUCGGAUUAAUACCGCAUACGCUCUACGGAGGAAAGAGGGGGCUUCGGCUCUCGCUAUUGGAUGGGCCUGCGUGAGAUUAGCUAGUUGGUGAGGUAAUGGCUCACCAAGGCGACGAUCUCUAGCUGGUCUGAGAGGAUGAUCAGCCACACUGGGACUGAGACACGGCCCAGACUCCUACGGGAGGCAGCAGUGGGGAAUAUUGCACAAUGGGCGCAAGCCUGAUGCAGCCAUGCCGCGUGUGAGAAGAAGGCUUUCGGGUUGUAAAGCACUUUCAGUGGGGAGGAAGGCCUCGUAGUUAAUAGCUGCGAGGAUUGACGUUACCCACAGAAGAAGCNCCGGCUAACUCCGUG